GAUGAACGCUGGCGGCGUGCCUAACACAUGCAAGUCGAGCGAACAGACGAGGAGUUAGCUCCUCUGACGUUAGCGGCGGACGGGUGAGUCACACGUGGAUAACCUACCUAUCAGGCUGGGAUAAUUACGGGAAACCGGAGCUAAUACCGGAUAAUAUAUUGAACCGCAUUGUUCAAUAGUGAAAUACGGUUUUUCGGUCACUUAUAGACGGAUCCGCGCCUGAUUAGCUGGUUGGUGAGGUAACGGCUUACCAAGGCGACGAUGCGUACCCGACCUGAGCGGGUGGUCGGCGACACUGGAACUGAGACGGGGCCCAGACUCCUGGGGGAGGCAGCAGUAGGGAAUCUUCCGCAAUGGGCGAAAGCCUGACAGAGCAACGCCGCGUGAGUGAUGAAGGUCUUCGGAGCGGAAAGCUCUGUUGUUAGGGGAGAACAAAUGUGUAAGUAACUGUGCAGGUAUUGACGGUACCUGGUCAGAAAGCCACGGCUAACUACGUG
rnacentral:rRNA from 1 species